UGUAGCAGCUAGCUCAGAUUCUGUGCUCUGGUACUGAAUCUCCAAUAUAAGCUACUCUCAAAUCAAGACCCUUUUUGCAAAGGAAAAAGCAUGACCCUUGGAUGAAACUUGUGAUCCUGCAGAUCCUACUCUAUGAGCUGGACUUGGUCAAGAAUCCCCCCAUAAUUCUCCAGAAUGACUGUGACAGAAGUCUAUAUCCCCAAGAGUUCCUUCAGCAAUAUUAGUUAUUUCCCUUCCCUCAGAAUGCACUUAUCCUGGUUGCAGUCCUUUUGGGAAUUUUAGGAAGAAAAGCAACAGUGAUGUUACAGGAAGGUUAUUCCUGAAGGGUACCCAGGUGACUGUCUACUUCUCUGUUGGGCUUUCCACAGAUUCCAUAAAAUAUCCCAAUCUGCUCUAAGUCCUUCAAACUAAACUGGAGCUUUGUAGCCCUAAGGACUCAAUGGUAGAGUCUUGUGUAUCACAACCUAAACUGAAAGGCGUUCUCUUCCUUCUGCACCCAAGCACACCUGGAAGUUUAUCUGGAGGAAGACUCCUUGUUUUUAUAGAUGCUGUAGCAUGCCCAUACCAGCUAAAAUAGGACCUCUGAGCACAGCCACCUCAGUCAGAGGGACCCACGGACCCAUUCUGAAUGUGGCAUACCCUCUUCUUUCUUUCUUAGUGCAAUUCUUGCUUAAAGAGUUCAUGACAAAAGAAGAAAAAAGCCUUGGUGUUAAGGAUAGAGGCAACAGUGUGGGCUGUUACUCACUGAAGCUGACUUGGCUGACUGAGGUUCAAGCAAUCCUUCUAAAUGUUCUUUUUUUCUUUUUUCAGUAAAAUGUAUCAUGUUUUGAGGCAGUUGGAUUCCAUUGGACCUUUUUGUUUGAAAACAGGGAUGGCAUAACUUUCUUUAGUCAUCUUUAACUUAACCUUUAUCCUCAUGAUGUCAAGGUGGCUGUUCUACCUGUUGACAUUCUGUGUUAUACCCAAGCAAGAAGAAGGUUGUGUGAGAUGACAACAAGCCAGAGUUACGUGCCAGCUGUGUCUCUCUCCACCCACCCACCAAACCUCAAAAAAAUCUGUAUUUAAAUGUCACUAGUUACAGACACACGACUCCUUACAAGCAGACUGGGGAGGUGAGCAUUAUAAGCUGGGCAGAUGGCCACCUGAAGAGCAUCAGUAUUUUGCUGUGGAAGGAGUGGAAAAUAGACACUGGAGAGACUACUAGCACUGUCUGCCACAGCUAUUACAUGGCUAUGUCCACUUGACUCUGAAACUAAGCCUUUUCUAUGAGACUGAAGUGCUUUGAAGAGAAAUGCUGACCUUGUCUUUUCCGUAGCUUGUGGCUUCAGUCACUCUUGGAAUCAGAUACAAGUCAUUUUAAUUCCAUCACUGAGGCCAGGAGACCUGACGGAAAUCAAUUCAAGAGUAUGACCAGGGGUCCAGUGUGACUGGGCAUGUAGGGGUCAGUGCAUCUGUGAUGAUGGGUGUAACAGCAUCACUGCCUGUGAGCCAAUGAGGCCCUCGGCUCCCAGGACGAAGCUCUCCAGGUCUGAUAAGGCCCCUGGGGGAGAGACCGGUCCUAAACAUGUACCAGAAUAAAUCCAUCAGCUAA